rnacentral:rRNA from 1 species
UACAGAGGGUGCGAGCGUUACUCGGAAUUACUGGGCGUAAAGCGCGCGCAGGCGGCUUUGCAAGUCGGGUGUGAAAUCCCCAGGCUUAACCUGGGAACUGCAUUCGAGACUGCAUUGCUAGAGUAUGGGAGAGGGAAGUGGAAUUUCCGGUGUAGCGGUGAAAUGCGUAGAUAUCGGAAGGAACAUCAGUGGCGAAAGCGACUUCCUGGACCAAUACUGACGCUCAUGUGCGAAAGCGUGGGGAGCAAACAGG